CACCCUGGAGCCCGAGAGAGUGCGGCGUGUCACCCUGGAGCCCGAGAGGGCACAGAGUGUCACUGGGGCAGGAAGGCCCCUGGAUGUGCCAGAGCAGAGGCUGGCUGUGCCUCACAAGCAGAGCCUCCAGCCAAGAAACAGAGGACUGAGGCAGCCUCCACUGCCUCCCUGGGAGCCAGCUCAGGUUUGUCAGGCCCCGUCUCCCAUGAGCAGCAGCUGUCCGAGAGUCUGGACAGGGCCUUGACCUCUGCCCUCAGAGGCUUCCCAUCAUUCACUGGGCAGAGAGGAGCUGGCGGGACAGCGCGAGAGGCCCCAGGGGCUCUCCCAGGUCAGAGUGGUGCCUCUGGGAGCUGCUGCUCGUGCUCCUGCAGUCUGUCUGCGUACUGCGGCUCGCCUGCUGCCUUCCAGCUGCCCUGCGCACACCUGCUCUGCCGCGCCUGCCUGGCACAGACGCCCUCGCACCCGGCCCCGCGCUGCCCUCGCUGCGGAGCCCCGGCCCCCAGGAAGGACAUCACUCGUGUGCACUACUGAUCAGAGGGCAGGACGUCAUCAGGGGCCACCUGGGGCCCAAGCACCCGCGCCCACUCUGGUGGAAUUCCCCUCCUCUCUCUCAGGCACACAGGAGGGGCUACGGGAAAGCCCUUCAGCCCCUCUGAAUCUGUCACGCCAGCUUCUGCUCAAUCCCAGAAUCCUUCCAGCCACUUCCUGAGGAUCCCAUGAGCUUUCUCUUCGGGAACCUCUGGUCAGUUUGCCCAGAACCUCCUGAGCCUACUUGAAAGUUGCGUCAGAGCAGUAUAUAUUUUUGUACUGUAAAUGAGGAGACUGCUUUUUCUGUUGUUAGAAGUCUGUUGACCAAAGACUCCAAUAAAAUAAUUUUCUUAAAAGAUGUCAAUAAACUUCCAGUGGGUGCUGCCCCGUUCCACACAGCGCCAGUGUGAGUGUGAUCCUUCACUUCUGGGCAGGGAGACAGCAGAAGCCGGUGUAAACACAUCCUGAACAGGCAAACUGAUGUCCCUCCACACCCUGACUCCAUUGUGAAGGCUCUUCACGGUUUCCCAGAUCUCGCUUGGACUCUCACAUGGAUCAGCGCUCCGGCAGCGGACGCAGAACUCCGCACGCCUCUGCUUCCUGGUUUUUAAAUUGCCACCUGACCAGUGAUCUUCCUCUUACUGGUCUGAUGGUGAAGGGCAGGAGAUUAUUCCCCACAGCCUUCUGGGAAAUGUGGUUGAGGCAAGGAUCUCCAUCUGGCCUCCUCCUACCACUCUGCCAAAAAACAUAAAGAGAGGAGAGGGACCUGAAUCACAGAAG